GAAAAAUCAUCAACCACUUGUAGUCGUCGUAGAAAUCAAUGAUUCCCUCCAGUUAUGUCCCUGACCCACGGGCUUCAUUUGUGCAAGUCCUGGGGCUGUGCUCUCAGCAAUGUGUCCCCUUCUGGGAAGGACGUCCAUUGCCCUCGAUGAUUGUGAUGCAUGUGCCAUACAAACUUCCUGUGUCCUUGUCUAUUGGUUCCUGCGUGAUAAUCACAGGGAGACCGAAACUCUCUUUUCUCAAUGACCCACUGCUGGAGGUGAAUUUCUACACUGGGACAAAUGAGGACUCAGAUAUUGCCUUCCAAUUCCGAGUGAACUUUGGCGAUUGUGUGGUCAUGAACACUCGUGAGAUUGGGAUGUGGAGGUGUGAGGAGAAAUGCUACAAUGUGCCCUUUGAGGAUGGCAAAUCAUUUGAGCUGCGCAUCUAUAUGCAUUACGAUGAAUACAAGGUAAUGGUAAAUGGCCAACACAUUUACAACUUUCUUCAUCGAAUCCUGCCACUAUUUGUGAAUAUGGUGGAAGUGUGGGGAGACGUCUCCCUGACCAGAGUGCUUGUCUGCAAUUGAGGAAGAUAAUCACACUCCUCAUUGUUAAGAAAUCCCUCUUUCUACAUGACCAUGGAAUUCCCAGAGCCUGCUGACAAAAUAACCCCUCCUCACCUCUUCCCCCUACACUUGGUCAUUAAAACAGCACCAAACC